rnacentral:rRNA from 1 species
UACGAGUGGUGCAAGCGUUAUUCGGAAUCAUUGGGCGUAAAGGGUGCGUAGACGGUAUGUUAAGUCUGUUGUUAAAUCCCUCGGCUCAACCGAGGAUCUGCGAUGGAAACUGAUGUGCUAGAGGGUGGAAGAGAGAAGUGGAAUUCUCGGAGUAGCGGUAAAAUGCGUAGAUCUCGAGAGGAACACCAAUGGCGAAGGCAGCUUCUUGGUCCACUCCUGACGUUGAGGCACGAAAGCGUGGGGAGCAAACAGG